rnacentral:rRNA from 1 species
AGAAAGGCAGUGCUCUUUACUUAUAAGCACCUUUAUACUGUGAAACUGCGAAUGGCUCAUUAAAUCAGUUAUCGUUUAUUUGAUAGUACCUUACUACAUGGAUACCUGUGGUAAUUCUAGAGCUAAUACAUGCUACAAACCCCGACUUCAGGAAGGGGUGUAUUUAUUAGAUAAAAAACCAACGCCCUUCGGGGCUCCUUGGUGAAUCAUAAUAACUUAACGAAUCGCAUGGCCUUGCGCCGGCGAUGGUUCAUUCAAAUUUCUGCCCUAUCAACUUUCGAUGGUAGGAUAGUGGCCUACCAUGGUGGCAACGGGUAACGGGGAAUUAGGGUUCGAUUCCGGAGAGGGAGCCUGAGAAACGGCUACCACAUCCAAGGAAGGCAGCAGGCGCGCAAAUUACCCAAUCCCGAUACGGGGAGGUAGUGACAAUAAAUACUGAUACGGGGCUCUUUCGGGUCUCGUAAUUGGAAUGAGAACAAUUUAAAUCCCUUAACGAGGAACAAUUGGAGGGCAAGUCUGGUGCCAGCAGCCGCGGUAAUUCCAGCUCCAAUAGCGUAUAUUAAAGUUGUUGCAGUUAAAAAGCUCGUAGUUGAACCUUGGGCCUGGCUGGCCGGUCCGCCUCACCGCGAGUACUGGUCCGGCUGGGCCUUUCCUUCUGGGGAACCUCAUGGCCUUCACUGGCUGUGGGGGGAACCAGGACUUUUACUGUGAAAAAAUUAGAGUGUUCAAAGCAGGCCUUUGCUCGAAUACAUUAGCAUGGAAUAAUAGAAUAGGACGUGCGGUUCUAUUUUGUUGGUUUCUAGGACCGCCGUAAUGAUUAAUAGGGAUAGUCGGGGGCGUCAGUAUUCAGCUGUCAGAGGUGAAAUUCUUGGAUUUGCUGAAGACUAACUACUGCGAAAGCAUUCGCCAAGGAUGUUUUCAUUAAUCAGGGAACGAAAGUUAGGGGAUCGAAGACGAUCAGAUACCGUCGUAGUCUUAACCAUAAACUAUGCCGACUAGGGAUCGGACGGGAUUCUAUGAUGACCCGUUCGGCACCUUACGAGAAAUCAAAGUUUUUGGGUCCUGGGGGGAGGAUUGCCCACCG